UGAUUCAAAGUUCCACAGAUAGGUAUUGAAAAGUUAUACAACUUGGCGUUGGUCUAAUCCUCAAAUUUGUUACGGAUUUUGCAUGAUCAAGAUCUGGUCAGAUCUGACUUUGUCGAAUUAAACCAGGAGCUUGGAAACGAAUUUUUGAAUGAAACCAAUUGGGGGAUAAUUGGUUUAUACCAUGGUGAUAACCGAGAGAGGCAAUUGCUAAAGUUGUGAUGCACUCAUACCUUUACUAGAUGCGAACAAUUCCGGAGAAGAAGAAGAAGUGGAAUCGGACGAGGAUUUUAUUUAUAUAUGUUGUUGGAAUUCUUAUAUUGAUGGAGUUGAAGAAGUACAGGGACAAAUAAGCCAAGGCAAGCCAUCUUUUGAUCUCUUGCUAUUUAUCC